UGAGGAAUAUUGGUCAAUGGGCGAGAGCCUGAACCAGCCAAGUAGCGUGAAGGAUGAAGGUCCUACGGAUUGUAAACUUCUUUUAUACGGGAAUAAAGUAUCCUACGUGUAGGAUUUUGUAUGUACCGUAUGAAUAAGCAUCGGCUAACUCCGUGCCAGCAGCCGCGGUAAUACGGAGGAUGCGAGCGUUAUCCGGAUUUAUUGGGUUUAAAGGGAGCGCAGACGGGAGAUUAAGUCAGUUGUGAAAGUUUGCGGCUCAACCGUAAAAUUGCAGUUGAUACUGGUUUCCUUGAGUGCAGUUGAGGCAGGCGGAAUUCGUGGUGUAGCGGUGAAAUGCUUAGAUAUCACGAAGAACCCCGAUUGCGAAGGCAGCUUGCUAAACUGUAACUGACGUUCAUGCUCGAAAGUGUGGGUAUCAAACAGGAUUAGAUACCCUGGUAGUCCACACGGUAAACGAUGGAUACUCGCUGUUGGCGAUAUACUGUCAGCGGCCAAGCGAAAGCAUUAAGUAUCCCACCUGGGGAGUACGCCGGCAACGGUGAAACUCAAAGGAAUUGACGGGGGCCCGCACAAGCGGAGGAACAUGUGGUUUAAUUCGAUGAUACGCGAGGAACCUUACCCGGGCUUAAAUUGCAGACGAAUUACGAGGAAACUUGUAAGCCGCAAGGCGUCUGUGAAGGUGCUGCAUGGUUGUCGUCAGCUCGUGCCGUGAGGUGUCGGCUUAAGUGCCAUAACGAGCGCAACCCUCGUGGUCAGUUACUAACAGGUUAAGCUGAGGACUCUGGCCAGACUGCCAUCGUAAGAUGUGAGGAAGGUGGGGAUGACGUCAAAUCAGCACGGCCCUUACGUCCGGGGCUACACACGUGUUACAAUGGGGGGUACAGAAGGCCGCUACCUGGUGACAGGAUGCCAAUCCCAAAAACCUCUCUCAGUUCGGAUCGAAGUCUGCAACCCGACUUCGUGAAGCUGGAUUCGCUAGUAAUCGCGCAUCAGCCAUGGCGCGGUGAAUACGUUCCC
rnacentral:rRNA from 1 species